rnacentral:rRNA from 1 species
GCAGCCGCCGCGGGAAUACGUAGGUGGCAAGCGUUGUCCGGAAUUAUUGGGCGUAAAGGGCUCGCAGGCGGUUUCUUAAGUCUGAUGUGAAAGCCCCCGGCUCAACCGGGGAGGGUCAUUGGAAACUGGGAAACUUGAGUGCAGAAGAGGAGAGUGGAAUUCCACGUGUAGCGGUGAAAUGCGUAGAGAUGUGGAGGAACACCAGUGGCGAAGGCGACUCUCUGGUCUGUAACUGACGCUGAGGAGCGAAAGCGUGGGGAGCGAACAGGAUUAGAUACCCCCGUAGUCCCUGUCUCUUAUAC